AGUAGAAUCAAAUCGCAUGAUGUGCUGCCCUUGGCCCGAAGCGCCGCUGCGAGGAAAAAGAUUGUCCGACAUCACCAACACGCUGAGUUCGGGGACGGCCGGAAUGAUGGGUGCCGAUGUCGAUCGAGGUAACUCGAAUGUGAUUUCUUGCCCGAUCUCCAAAGAUUGCAUCGUCCAGCUCAUGAAGGUACCUUUGGAGAUUUUCUUUUUGGUCUCCCUUUUUCAUCUUUCUUUCCUUCUUCAUCUGCAUUUAGUGUUUGUUUCUAAAAAAGAUUUUUGAAAAUGCUCUUUUCUUUACAUGAUCAAUAUGAAUUCCAGGAAAAUACUGCCUUGUUGAAGCUUCUUGCAGAAAAGAAGUAUGUAAAUUGUAAAAGACAAAAUUACUUCUUGACUGAGAGAUAGUCCGUCGAAAUUCAUGGACCAGCGAUCGAUUGAUAUGGUUUGAUCCGUUGUUUGUUUUGGCAGCAAAAUCAUAGAACUGAGUAGCACUGAGUCGCAAAAACUCCAAUUUGAAUUGCAGAAAACCAGUCAACAAAACUGGCAAUUGGCCCGGGCUAACUCACACAUGCUAGGGGUUGAUUCCUUGUCCAUUUUCUUUAUUGUUUCAGUUUGCAAAAAAGAUGCAUUCUUUAUCUGUUUCGUCUUUUGCUUCGCAGGAGCUCAACUUAGGGAAAGAUAGAGUAUGUUUUCUUGCCUUAUGGUUUGGCUCAUUGUGAUUUUCGUUUGCUAUAAUAGGCGAUUUAAUUUGAUUUACUUUGUGUCAAUCGAUUGAAGUUGCAUGUCAAGUUAUUUUGAUUGAUAAUAUUUAUUUGUUUAUUUCAUGUUGCAGCUAAAAGUAUUAACGACAUGAGCUUGGUUGUACCUUAUCAAUCCUUAAACUAAAGACUUCAGAAUUAGAGGUAAGGAGGAUUAUUAUAGUUUCAUAAUUUGUUUUCUCCUCUCUUAAUCUCUAUGGUGAUAUAUAUUUUUUCUUUACUCUAACUUAGGAGAAAGAAAAAUUGAUCAAAGAUCUCCUUAACAAAAUUGGCUCAGAGGUAUCCGAUGGCUUGUUUUGUUUACAUUCAGGCUGCCCUUUUUUUGCUCAUACUGUUAUUUUUCUUUCUACAAAUUGCAAAAGGUAGGAACCACCAAGUGUGAGGAGGUUGAAGCAAAUGCAACUCAACUUGCUAAUGACAAGAAAAUCUGCAAUCCCAAUAAGAAGCGCAAGUUAAAACCACAGUCUUUAGGCCCUACCACUUUGGUUCAUCAAGUGGCAUCAGAGGGAAAGGUUGAUGGUAGAAGAAGGAGGUUCUUACGAACAAAAUCCAGUGGCUUGAAGUCUGAAUCAUGUGAAUUUGUGAAUGACUUGCUCAAAAGAGAUGAUGGCGGAUCUCCAGUGACCCAUCAAGUGGGCCUAGAUGAAAAGAAGUUCGUUCCGAACAAGAUCCUGUAGUUUGAAAUCUGAAUCACAUGAAUCUAUGGAGUUGCACAAGAUUGAUGAUGCCAUACUUCCAGUGACUUGUCUGGUGCCAUCAGAGGAAAAGAUUGAUGGAAGAAGAAAAUCCUUGCGGAGGAGAUCCGGUUAUUUAAAGUCUGAAUCAUGUGAGCCUACUGAGAACUCAGUCAAGAUGGAGGAUGCCAAGUUUUUAGUUUAUACGAUCAAGAAUGAACGAGUAAGCUAUUGCUCAUGGAGAUUGUUAUACUUCUUCCAUAUCAAAUAUUUCUGUUGAACGAGUAAAGAAUGAGAAGCAUAAUUCAAUUGGGUCUUCAGAACUCGGGAAUCGGGAGUGCCAAAGAAGAUCCUCUGUUGGAAGGCCAUUGCGGAAGGCGGCUGAGAAGGUCGGUUCUUACAAAGAAAUGAAUCUGAAUGUAAAAAUGUGAAGAUCAGAGUACGAUUCUGGGUUAUCUGCUUACAUCACUAAAAUUUCAGAUGGUGCUAGCUGAGAGCUGCUGAUAUUCUUGGAUCCGUUUAAUAUAUCUGCUAGAUGAGAGCUGGACAUGCCAAUGUUUUCUAUGUUCUUGAUAUUUUGUGAUGACAUGGUGAAAUGUAUUACUGUAUUGUAAGAUUAAUUAGUAGGAACCCAUAGCUUAUUUUUGCAGCUUC